GACGAACGCUGGCGGCGUGCUUAACACAUGCAAGUCGAACGAUGAAGCCGGAGCUUGCUCUGGUGAAUUAGUGGCGAACGGGUGAGUAACACGUGAGUAACCUGCCCUUGACUCUGGGAUAACUGCUAGAAAUGGUAGCUAAUACCGGAUACGACCCUCGGAGGCAUCUCCAGGGGGUGGAAAGAAUUUCGGUCAAGGAUGGACUCGCGGCCUAUCAGCUAGUUGGUGAGGUAAUGGCUCACCCAGGCGACGACCGGUUGCCGGCCUGAGAGGGUGACCGGCCACACUGGGACUGAGACACGGCCCAGACUCCUACGGGAGGCAGGAGUGGGGAAUAUUGCACAAUGGGCGCAAGCCUGAUGCAGCAACGCCGCGUGAGGGAUGACGGCCUUCGGGUUGUAAACCUCUUUUAGUAGGGAAGAAGCGAAAGUGACGGUACCUGCAGAAAAAGCACCGGCUAACUACGUGCCAGCCGCCGCCGUAA
rnacentral:rRNA from 1 species